CAGUAGCCGCGGGAAUACGUAGGGUGCAAGCGUUGUCCGGAAUUAUUGGGCGUAAAGAGCUCGUAGGCGGUUUGUCGCGUCUGCUGUGAAAUCCCGAGGCUCAACCUCGGGCUUGCAGUGGGUACGGGCAGACUAGAGUGCGGUAGGGGAGAUUGGAAUUCCUGGUGUAGCGGUGGAAUGCGCAGAUAUCAGGAGGAACACCGAUGGCGAAGGCAGAUCUCUGGGCCGUAACUGACGCUGAGGAGCGAAAGCGUGGGGAGCGAACAGGAUUAGAUACCCGCGUAGUCCCUGUCUCUUAUAC
rnacentral:rRNA from 1 species